rnacentral:rRNA from 1 species
UACGAAGGGGGCUAGCGUUGCUCGGAAUCACUGGGCGUAAAGGGUGCGUAGGCGGGUCUUUAAGUCAGGGGUGAAAUCCUGGAGCUCAACUCCAGAACUGCCUUUGAUACUGAAGAUCUUGAGUUCGGGAGAGGUGAGUGGAACUGCGAGUGUAGAGGUGAAAUUCGUAGAUAUUCGCAAGAACACCAGUGGCGAAGGCGGCUCACUGGCCCGAUACUGACGCUGAGGCACGGAAAGCGUGGGGAGCAAACAGGG